rnacentral:tRNA from 1 species
AAAGGUGUACCUUUGUGGUAGAAUGCUUGCCUAACAUGCAUGAGGCCCUGGGUUCAAUCCCCAGCACCAUAA